CGCUCGGCCGCCCUUUCCCCGCGGCGGCCGGCUGCGGGGGUCGUGGCCGCUGGGCUCCGGGCGGCGGCUCGUGCGAGGCCGUCGGCUCCGCGGCGGUCAGGCAGCGGCCAGGGAGGAGGGCGAUGCCCGGCCCACGGACGGGAGCCAGAGGAGCCGCCCGCCGGCCUCCCGACCCAGAACGUCAGGGUGUUCGGAGGCGAUCAUGUUUGCGCAGCAGGGGCUGUCACAGGGGUGUCGGCGGACACUGUUACGGGUUCCAGAGGGUGCAGGCGGGCGAAGGCGGAGAAGUGGGGCCCGGGGGUGGUUUGCAGGGGCACUCCCCGUCGCUGCUCUGGCCUGGGCAAGGACAGGGCGCACCCCAGUUUGGACGCCCCAGGCCUGUCCGCGCAGCCCUGCGUGUGCCUUGUGUAGCAAGCGAAGGGUGAGCAGGCUUCCCCUGCACCCUGUGUCCUGAUUCUUAACCCAGCCACUGUGUUCAGGGGGACGAAAGUCUUGGCAGAGUUUUCUAACUGCCAGAGCCCGUGAUUCUAAUUUCUUUUCCCUUUAAGACGGACUUAUUUUAGAGCACAAGCCUGGGGCGGGGGCUGGGCGGAAGAGCAGGGAGAGUCUGAAGCAGAGUCCGCACUCAGCCCGGAGCCUGACCUCGCGGCCAGAGCUGAAAUCUAGUCAGACUCUCGGCCAAUGGAGUCGUUCCCCCCCCCCCCCCGGCGUCCCAGUUCGAAACUGCUUUUUGUGCCAUAUUUGGAUUAUCCACUGCCCACCCCACAGGGGAGAAAAAUCUAGAUGGGGAAGAAAGCUAUUAUUUAACGUAAGUAGGAUGAGUUUUAGGAAUUAAUACUAACAAGACGGGUAUUACAGUUGAAAUUUUGGAAUAUGUUUUUUAGUAAAAGUGUUUCUCUUUUGGCAAAACUUGAGAAUAAAUUGAUCUUAAAUAAACCAUCUUAACACUU